CGUUUCGCAGCUCAGGUUGACCGGACUGCCCUCCAGGAAGGGGGAGGGCGAGGAUGCUGUCAGCACUGGAACGACAGGAAGAAGUUGUGAGUGGUUGUUGAGUACCAAGCAUUGCAGCAAGGGCCAUGUGCAAACUGGAUUAGAAGAUCUCAGGAGUGUGUUGGGACAAAGACAAUUUACUCUCUGUGGUCAGCAGAACUCUAAGAUGACCCGCCGAGUCACCCCCUUGCCUGAUCCCCUUGUGUGCUGGUGGAGUCUACGACUUGCUUUUAGCCAGCAGAAUACGACAAAGGCCACGGGCUGUCACUCUCACGGUGGCUAUAUUAUGUAAGACUCUGUCUUAGCAGACUGGGUGGAGAGAGUCUCCUGCUGGCCUUGAAGAAGGAAGCUGCCCUACUGUGAGAAGGUCACAUGGCAGGGACCUCUAGGUCCUGAGAGUGGCCCUCAGUUAACAGCCAGCAAGAAAAUGGGAGCCUCGGUCCUACGACUAUAAGGAAUCCAGUUCAGCAUAUGACCAUGUGAAAUCGGAAGAACUCCCAGAAAGAACACAGCCCCAUUUGCAGCCUUGGCAGCGGAGUAGAGCACCCGGCUAAGCUGUGCCAGGACGCCCAACCCAUGGAAACUGGGCGAUGAUAAAGAAACCAGGGCUGAAAGUCAAAAUUAGAAACACGGUUGAUUAAAGAAGAAACAAGUGCAAGAGUUAAGGAGCCUACUGCCAGAGACAUGAAGAGAGUAACCAGGAGCUGCUGGCAAAGAUCGCUGGUUGAGAAAGGGACAUAAACAAAGAAAGGACGGACCCUGGGAUGUCUUUCUGGAGGAGAGGCCUCCCUUAGGGGCAGGAGUGCGCCAGCGUGGUGGAGUUUACUUCCCCUCUCUCCCCCAUCUCUCCCAUCUCCCCCACCUCCUGGGAUCUGCUUCCGUAUGUGUUGGUGAGAAGAGGGCCAAGGGAGCAGCUCCAGCUUCACCCUGAUUUUUAUCUUCCUUCCCCAGGUGUUGUCUAUUUGGGUUAUGGGGGCUGGGGGGUAAAGGUUUGACUCUUUUGGGGUUGACUGAAAAACUGACUUUAACUCCUUGUUUGGCACAAGGCUAUAGGGCCCAUUAUUAGAAUGUGGUUUCUUGUCUUUAGGAACAAUUUUGUAACCAGGAUGGAGGGUUUUUCACA